UACGUAGGGUGCGAGCGUUAAUCGGAAUUACUGGGCGUAAAGCGUGCGCAGGCGGUUCGUUGUGUCGGUGGUGAAAGCCCCGGGCUUAACCUGGGAAUGGCCAUGGAAACUGGCGAACUGGAGUGUGGCAGAGGGGGGUGGAAUUCCGCGUGUAGCAGUGAAAUGCGUAGAGAUGCGGAGGAACACCGAUGGCGAAGGCAGCCCCCUGGGCCAAUACUGACGCUCAGGCACGAAAGCGUGGGGAGCAAACAGG
rnacentral:rRNA from 1 species